GUGGCUGUAGCUCAGUUGGUAGAGCUCCUGGUUGUGGUCCAGGCGGUCGCGAGUUCAAGUCUCGUCAGCCACCCCA
rnacentral:tRNA from 1 species